rnacentral:lncRNA from 1 species
GCUCCUCGUGGAACUCGUCCCUAGAAGGGGGGGUAAUGUCACGGACAUACAUAUAAUUACCUAUAUGAAUAGAUAAAAGUAUGUAAAAGUAGAUAAAAGUAGGUUAAUUGUGUAAUAUCUUCUAGAGAAGCUUCUUAGAAGCUUCAUAGACGCUGCUUUGACUUUAUAGGAGUCUAUAGUUGACUUUUAGGUUAGAAACUUGGUCAACAAGUUAGCCAUGUGCCACACAUGUUGGAAGCUUAAAGAACAAGCUAACUACGUGGUCCAUCCAUAGAAAACUUGCCUUGCAAGCAAAGGCAUGUGGCCUAGAAAGUCAACAUAUAUUGGAGGUCUUAUAGAACAUUGCCACGUGGCUUCUAGUUAGAUAGUAUAUAUAGAGACAAGAGUGAAGCCCUCUUCACUCUUGUCAACUCCUUUCUUGCUUCUAGUCUAGUUUCAAGGGUCUCUAGUUUUCUUGUAUUUUGGCAAUAGCCAUUCCACUUUCUUUCU